rnacentral:rRNA from 1 species
AGAGUUUGAUUCUGGCUCAGGACGAACGCUGGCGGCGUGCCUAACACAUGCAAGUCGAACGAAGCUUGAAUUCAGAUUUCUUCGGAAUGAAGAAUGAUAUGACUGAGUGGCGGACGGGUGAGUAACGCGUGAGCAACCUGCCCUUCGGAGGGGGAUAGUGUCUGGAAACGGACAGUAAUACCGCAUAACGUAUUUUUACCGCAUGAUAGAAAUACCAAAACUGAGGUGCCGAAGGAUGGGCUCGCGUUGGAUUAGAUAGUUGGUGGGGUAACGGCCUACCAAGUCAACGAUCCAUAGCCGGACUGAGAGGUUGAACGGCCACAUUGGGACUGAGACACGGCCCAGACUCCUACGGGAGGCAGCAGUGGGGAAUAUUGCACAAUGGGGGAAACCCUGAUGCAGCAACGCCGCGUGAAGGAAGACGGUUUUCGGAUUGUAAACUUCUGUUCUUAGUGAAGAAAAAUGACGGUAGCUAAGGAGCAAGCCACGGCUAACUACGUGCCAGCAGCCGCGGUAAUACGUAGGUGGCAAGCGUUGUCCGGAAUUACUGGGUGUAAAGGGAGCGCAGGCGGGAAGCCAAGUCAGCUGUGAAAACUACGGGCUUAACUUGUAGACUGCAGUUGAAACUGGUUUUCUUGAGUGA